rnacentral:rRNA from 1 species
GAUCCUGGCUCAGGACGAACGCUGGCGGCGUGCUUAACACAUGCAAGUCGAACGGAGCGCCAUGGAAUGAGGUUUCGGCCAAAGGAAAUGGUUGCUUAGUGGCGGACUGGUGAGUAACGCGUGAGGAACCUGCCUUUCAGAGGGGGACAACAGUUGGAAACGACUGCUAAUACCGCAUGACGCAUUUAGGGGGCAUCCCUUGAAUGCCAAAGAUUUAUCGCUGAAAGAUGGCCUCGCGUCCG